UUAGCAACACCGGGCGCUCUGAACACUGCAACCCCCUCCCCCUCUUUUGCUGCACAGGAUGCCAGCAUAGGAGUUGUGUUGCACUGACAGGAAAGGCCUCCUAAGGCCUAGUCCCGGCUACCUGAGCUCAGGUCCUUCCCACACAGCACCACUGGGCUGUGCACCUUCCCAGCUAUGACCAGGCCUAGGAGCACAAGGAUGGAUAGUUCCAGAAGUAACUAAAGAAUGGCAGUAACAAGACAAAGAAAAACUGUUUUAAAAGAAACAAGUCCAAACCUGCUUGUGUUCUGCGGGAAGGAGUAGGGAGAGAAGAUAAGAAAUGAAAGGCUUUGAGAAGAAAGGAGAUUGUAAGGGGUCCUGACCCUACAGGGUUUGGUUAUUUGGGAGAUGUAGCACCAACUGGAUUUCAGCAACAGAAGCUUCCCAUUUCUACCAACACUGGCCCCUCAAAUACGGAGGAUAAAUUUGCAAAACAUUUACAUUAAUAUCGCAUACCAUGUAUUAGCUCUGCCAUUACAUCUCUGGCUCUUUCCUCCUCUGCUUCACUCCUUUCCUCCCUUUGCUGAUAUGGACCCUUUGGUAUGACACUAUUCGGGGAGAGAGAAGUUGAGAUUACUUUUGACAAUUGCUUCUGCAACCUUGGAUGCCUUACAAUGCUUUGCUGAAAUAAAACACUGUCCAUACACAGUUCCUUCUCUUCCUCCUUGAAAAUACCACCUGCCACAAUUUAUCAAGUAUUCAACAUCCCCCACCAAGGUCUUUUUUUCCAACAAAACAGAUUUUCCUCCCACAUAUCAAUUCUUUGCCACUUCAUUAAAAUCAAUAUGCUGCCUUUCAGUGGGAUGAAUAAACUCCACACCAGAACCAAACCAGUUUAGGAGCAGCUCUGAGCCCAGACAGCUUCACCCAUAUCCAGCUGCAGAGUAUGCACAGGUGGGCUAUGUCUACACUGGUGGCU